rnacentral:rRNA from 1 species
UACGUAGGGGGCUAGCGUUGUCCGGAUUUAUUGGGCGUAAAGAGCGUGUAGGCGGCCAGGUAGGUCCGCUGUGAAAGUCCGAGGCUCAACCUCGGAAUGUCGGCGGAAACCCUCUGGCUAGAGUCCGGAAGAGGAGAGUGGAAUUCCCGGUGUAGCGGUGAAAUGCGCAGAUAUCAGGAGGAACACCGGUGGCGAAGGCGGGUCUCUGGGCCGUAACUGACGCUGAGGAGCGAAAGCAUGGGGAGCAAACAGG